UACCGAUUGUCGAGAGGCGACGGGAUGGGCGUGCAGAAGUCAGCCGAGGCCGUAGUAAGUGGCGGUCAACCACGCCAUCAAGGGC
rfam:Pseudomonadales bacterium RIFCSPLOWO2_02_FTLL_63_210 rifcsplowo2_02_scaffold_1056, whole genome shotgun sequence.